rnacentral:lncRNA from 1 species
GAGAGUUUACAUAACUUGACCAAUGUCAUUAGGUUAUGCAGAGUCAGGGUGGCACGAGGGUAUGUCUGCUCCAAAUGCAUUCUCUUAAGGCUUCCUCAUAAUGUGCAUUCAUUCUCCAUCAUAUCAAAUUAUCAGUUAAAGAAUUGCUCACAGUGUUUAGAACACAAGGACACAUCUCAAGUGCUCCCCACUUGUUGCUAGGUAACGUCUGUUUGGCACAAUCUGGUGAACAUCAUCAUGGUUGUCUUGCCAGUAGGAACUGGUAAUCAGGAUGGCAGAGAGGCAGGCACUUGUUGUCAGAAGACUGGGCCUGGUUUUUAAAAGCCACAGAAGCAUCUUUAGAUGAUUAGAAUCCAAGGGUCCAACAGCUUUGCAAGAACACCAUAAAUAUUCUGUGCUGGAUGGACAGGCACCAAAUGGGGACAUUCCCUACUGUUGUGUGAUGAGAAAGCUGGCACUUCUGAGGACUUCCAAAACAAAUAAAUACUCGAUAUGCCAGAAGGAAAAGCAUGGGAAAGGCCUGUUCCAAUUGGAGAUGUGAAUGUCUUUCCAUGGGAAGCUGAGAUGCAACUGGUAGUCCUGGGAAUAUGGAAGGGAAUUCAACAAUACUGUACCUCUCAGGGAACUCAGAAAGGAAAUUGGAAAGGCAAGUUACAAACUGAAAGAAAAUAUUUAUAAAAAAAUCAUUUGAAAAAGAACUUGCAUCUGGAAUAAAGACAUUGUUACAACUCAAAAGUAAGAGAAUCUCAUACAAAAUAGGUAUUCCAUCAAAGAAAACAUAAAGAUGACAAAUACAUGAAAAAAUGCUGAAAGUCAUUAUUAAGGAGUUGCAAGUUAAAAAGCAUGGUAAGAUACCACUCUCACCCACUUGAAUGACCAAAACUAAACAGAUAACCAUACCAUUUGCUGGUAAGAAGAAAGUUAACAACUGGGACUCCUAUGCAUGGCUGGUAGGAGUAUGAAAUGGUACAACCACUUUGAAAAAGAAUUGGGCAAUUUCCUUCAAUGCUAAACGUACAUCUGUCAUACAACCCAGCAACCCCACUUCUAGGUAUUUUACACAAAGAAAAUGAAGACACAUGUCUACACAAAGACUUAUCGGCAGAUGUUCAUAGCAACUUUGUUACAGCCAAACACUGGAGAUGGCCCAAUUGUCCAAGAGGUGAACAGAUAUACUAACUUUGGUACAUUUAUAUGAUGGAAUACUAAUCAGUAAUAAAAGGAACAAAUUACUGGUACUUUUGACAGCAUGAAUUUUAAACUAACUAUGGUGAGAGUAAGAAUCCAAAGGUUUUCUACUGUAAGACUCCACUUAUAUAAAAUUCUAGGAAAUGUAAAAUUACUAGGAUGUCAGAAAGCAAAUCUGUGGUAGCCUGGGGAUGGGAGUUGUGUGUGGGGUGGGGGGGAUAUAGUGAGAAGGGUUAGAUUAUGAAGGUGCAUAAGAAAAGCUUGGGGUUUGAUGAAAAUAUUUAUGAUCUUAAUUAUAGUGAUGAUUCCACAUGUAUAU